rnacentral:rRNA from 1 species
UGAGGAAUAUUGGACAAUGGGUGAGAGCCUGAUCCAGCCAUCCCGCGUGAAGGACGACUGCCCUAUGGGUUGUAAACUUCUUUUAUACUGGGAUAAACCUACCCUCGUGAGGGUAGCUGAAGGUACAGUAUGAAUAAGCACCGGCUAACUCCGUGCCAGCAGCCGCGGUAAUACGGAGGGUGCAAGCGUUAUCCGGAUUUAUUGGGUUUAAAGGGUCCGUAGGCGGGCUCGUAAGUCAGUGGUGAAAUCUCAUAGCUUAACUAUGAAACUGCCAUUGAUACUGCGGGUCUUGAGUAAAGUAGAAGUGGCUGGAAUAAGUAGUGUAGCGGUGAAAUGCAUAGAUAUUACUUAGAACACCAAUUGCGAAGGCAGGUCACUAUGCUUUAACUG